AUUGAACGCUGGCGGCAGGCCUAACACAUGCAAGUCGAGCGGGGUUUUCGGACCUAGCGGCGGACGGGUGAGUAAUGCGUAGGAAGCUGCCCGAUAGAGGGGGAUACCAGUUGGAAACGACUGUUAAUACCGCAUAAUGUCUACGGACCAAACUGUGGGACCUUCGGGCCACAUGCUAUCGGAUGCGCCUACGUGGGAUUAGCUAGUUGGUGAGGUAAUGGCUCACCAAGGCGACGAUCUCUAGCUGGUUUGAGAGGAUGAUCAGCCACACUGGAACUGAGACACGGUCCAGACUCAUACGGGAGGCAGCAGUGGGGAAUAUUGGACAAGGGGCGAAAGCCUGAUCCAGCCAUGCCGCGUGUGGGAAGAAGGCCUUCGGGUUGUAAAGCACUUUCAGCGAGGAGGAAGGGGUAGUAGUUAAUAGCUGCUACUUUUGACGUUACUCGCAGAAGAAGCACCGGCUAACUCUGUGCCAGCCGCCGCCGUAACAC
rnacentral:rRNA from 1 species